UACAGAGACUGCAAGCGUUAUUCGGAUUCACUGGGCGUAAAGGGUGCGCAGGCGGCCGAGUGUGUGAGGCGUGAAAGCCCGGGGCUUAACCCCGGAAUUGCACCUCAAACUACACGGCUAGAGCAUUGGAGAGGGUAGCAGAAUUCAUGGUGUAGCAGUGAAAUGCGUAGAUAUCGUGAGGAACACCAGAGGCGAAGGCGGCUACCUGGACAAUUGCUGACGCUCAGGCACGAAAGCAUGGGGAGCAAACAGG
rnacentral:rRNA from 1 species